ensembl:lncRNA
UGAAGUGCGGUCCAAAAAUAGAAAUACGUUUUGUAAAAUAGUCUUUACACGUGUUUCUCACCGGCCACUCUGAUGGGGUUUUGGUAUUUAGUUCCCAGUUGUAUGAGUGUGUGAGAGUUUGUGUGAGUGUGUGUGUGAGAGAGUGUGUCUGAGACCGUGUAUGAGAAAGUGUGUAUGAGUGUGUAUGAGAGUGUGUAUGAGACCGUGUGUUAGAGCGUGUGUGAGAGUGUGUAUGAGUGUGUGUGAGAGUGUGUAUGAGACCGUGUGUUAGAGUGUGUGUGAGAGUGUGUAUGAGUGUGUGUGAGAGUGUGUAUGAGAGCGUGUGUGAGAGUGUGUAUGAGAGUGUGUAUGAGACCGUGUGUUAGAGCGUGUGUGAGAGUGUGUAUGAGUGUGUGUGAGAGUGUGUAUGAGACCGUGUGUUAGAGUGUGUGUGAGAGUGUGUAUGAGUGUGUGUGAGAGUGUGUAUGAGGACCGUGUGUUAGUGUGUGUGAGAGUCAUGCACAUCUCCCCCAUCACUCUGCUGUAUCCAAACAAGGCAUGGUUUGUGGCGUGUGGACUCUUCCACCAUCCACCUGUGUGGACUUUGCUCCUAAUCCUCUCUGAUCCUCUCUCUGCGUUGAAUACUUGGACUACUGAGUGUAACUAAUUCUCCCACACGAGGACAUUGUCUCGGCCACUUUCGCCUUUGUCUUCCUCCUCACGGCGUCUUAUUCAGGAGCCGCGUUCGUUAGCCGAACAGUCGGGCCAGGAG